rnacentral:rRNA from 1 species
UACGGAGGGUGCAAGCGUUAAUCGGAAUUACUGGGCGUAAAGCGCACGCAGGUGGCUGAGUCAGUCGAUUGUGAAAGCCCUGGGCUUAACCUGGGAAUUGCAGUCGAUACUACUCAGCUAGAGUAUGGGAGAGGGUAGUGGAAUUCCCAGUGUAGCGGUGAAAUGCGUAGAUAUUGGGAGGAACACCGGUGGCGAAGGCGGCUACCUGGACCGGUACUGACGCUGAGGCGCGAAAGCUAGGGUAGCAAACAGG